CCGCACGCGCGCUACACUGACAUGUUCAUCGAGCUUAAAACCUGGGCUGGAAGGCUCGGGUAAUCUUGUAAAAGCAUGUCGUGAUGGGGAUAGAUCAUUGUAAUUAUUGAUCUUCAACGAGGAAUUCCUAGUAAACGCGAGUCAUCAGCUCGCAUUGAUUACGU
rnacentral:rRNA from 1 species